rnacentral:tRNA from 1 species
GCCCCGUUCGUCUAGCGGCUCAAGACUCCGCGCUUUCAAUGCGGCGAGACGGGUUCGACUCCCGUACGGGGUA